UAUUUAAAAAAAUAUUUUGUGUUUGUUUAUAUUUUGUGUUGACGUGUAUAUGGAGGGAAAACAACUGUUGCUCUGCUUAAUUCUGCAGCACAGGUGUACACUUCUACCAGCGAUCAGUGCCCAGGGUUAACUUAGAGUGGAGUUCUACACUUCUCAACAAAUAAAAGCUCUAUUCUGAUAUAAAGUGUCGUAACUGAACUAUGAAGAUUUCUCCGUAACAGGGUGUCACCCAGCCUGUGACCACAAGAGCAGAGCCUUCUUUCAUCUACACAUCUCUCCGUCUGAAAAGAGAAAUGGACAAGUUCAGUGUGCACAAUAACCAGGUUGUUCAUGUGACGGAAGCCAUAGCUGAAAAGAUUUACCAUAUGGUUCAGUACCUGAGGAAGAAAGGACCUAUACAGGGGAAGGAGGCUUUUGUCAGCACAGCAAAGGACGUGAUCUCAAGCUGUCAACGGGUCACUCAGUUUAUUGGAUUUGUUACUGAACACUGCCUGGACCAGCAGUGCACGGAUGAGCUCCUCCGUAUCACGGAAUGCAUUUACACCACCACCAAGCAGCUCACCAUCAUCUCCAGGUGAGACAGUAGCACAACCAGAAUUGGCUUGGCCUGCAAAGUACAUGUCACAAUGACGGAAAAAACUAAUUUCUGCUAUGAUCCUAAACCCCAUGUUUUGUUCCCAGUGAUUCAUAUAGGAGUUAUUCAUAUUUAAGAACAUUUUAAGUAUUAUCCUUUUUCAGUAAUUCUCACAAUAUAUUCUCAGUCUCUUUGUUGUAACCUCAGCGCUUCUGGCUGUGGCUCCAUCUCGGUGGAGAAGCAUUUAGGUCAUGGAAACAGCAGCAUGUUUGUUUUGACUGGCUCAGGAUGUGCUGAACUUAGAUCCCUGCCGCACCCCCCCUGUAUUUCAAUGCCGGGAAGAGAAGCAGCCCUCUGGGUGCGUGUCAGUCCCAUCAGGCUCUCGCUGGCACUUGUCCUGGCAGUCAGUGCCUCCUCCUAACUAUCCUUCUGACUUCGUGUUCUCCACAAAGAGAUGUCUGCUUUGGAUGGGCACCAUGCUGGCGCAAGCACCAAUCACAGCAGCCAUGUUGAAAAUCUUUUAUCCCAAC
rnacentral:lncRNA from 1 species